UCCAGACUCCUACGGGAGGCAGCAGUGGGGGAUAUUGCACAAUGGGGGGAACCCUGAUGCAGCGACGCCGCGUGGGUGAAGGAGCGUUUCGGCGCGUAAAGCCCUAUCGGCAGGGAAGAAGGAGGACGGUACCUGACUAAGAAGCCCCGGCUAACUACGUGCCAGCAGCCGCGGUAAUACGUAGGGGGCAAGCGUUAUCCGGAUUUACUGGGUGUAAAGGGGGCGCAGACGGCAGCGCAAGCCAGGAGUGAAAGCCCGGGGCCCAACCCCGGGACUGCUCUUGGAACUGCGCGGCUGGAGUGCAGGAGGGGCAGGCGGAAUUCCUGGUGUAGCGGUGAAAUGCGUAGAUAUCAGGAGGAACACCGGUGGCGAAGGCGGCCUGCUGGACUGCGACUGACGUUGAGGCCCGAAAGCGUGGGGAGCAAACAGGAUUAGAUACCCUUGUACA
rnacentral:rRNA from 1 species